AGAGACAGCAGUAGCCGCGGUAAUGCAGAGGGUGCAAGCGUUAAUCGGAAUUACUGGGCGUAAAGCGUGCGUAGGUGGUUUGUUAAGUUGGAUGUGAAAUCCCCGGGCUCAACCUGGGAACUGCAUUCAAAACUGACUGACUAGAGUAUGGUAGAGGGUGGUGGAAUUUCCUGUGUAGCGGUGAAAUGCGUAGAUAUAGGAAGGAACACCAGUGGCGAAAGCGACCACCUGGACUAAUACUGACACUGAGGUGCGAAAGCGUGGGGAGCAAACAGGAUUAGAUACCCCCGUAGUCCUGUCUCUUAUACA
rnacentral:rRNA from 1 species